UGUGAAGAGAGGGAAGGAGGCAGGGCUGUGGCGAGGAGGAAACCGGGUCACGUCCAGCCCCGGUCGGAGGGGCUGCUUCUCUUUCGCUUCGGUCUCUUUUCCUUCUCCUCCCGAAUUGUCUCCUCGAUGUGAAACUUAAAACGAGCGAAGAAGAGCUGUGUAUUUUACAGGCUAACAGGGGGUUGAGGACAAAUAAGUAGGACUCUGCUUUGAAGCUGAUUUUUAAUCAUUCCUCUGUUACACAGAGCAUACAAGAUUUUAAGCUCCUGAAAAAGUGAACGGAUUAUAGGAACGAGUAGGGCCAGAAGGAACAGAGGUUUAAAAGAGGGAAGACAGAGAAGAGAAACCAAGAUGGCAGAGGAGGAAGACAGGAACCUCCUGAGACAGAGCUGUAUGGAUAAAGACAGCACAGUGGAAGAGAAUCAGAUAAUCUCACUGGAUUGGCAACAGCUAGCCAUUAAGAAGAUGAACAGGUUCAAUAAUGUUUCUGCUUUGAACACAAGCACAGACUUACAAUUCGGACAAGAUCAAAUGCUAGCUAUUAUAAAGGAAAAUGUAGUAAAGGCAUGAUAAAGUGACCAAGUGUAAUCCAUUCCUUCCUUAAAAAAUCAAAGGAACUGUGUAUACAGCAAGUGUCCAGAUUCCAAGUGAUGAGAGAAAAUGGUAUUAACUUCUAUAUCCUCUGUCCUCAUUUAAGAGUGUCAAAUCACCUUAUAGAAAUGCAAUGUCGUUAGGUAAUCCAGUUAGUUCAUCUUUGUUUAUUUUCUUUCUUACAGUUACAUGAACUGGGGAAAGUGUGAAAUGUAUCAGCAGUUUAUUGUGGGAAGGCUAUUAGGUGUUCGUUUUGAAGGUGUGCUAAUAUGAAUAGCAAUUUAUAUUCUUUUUCACAACAAAUAGUCCAAAGAUUCAAGAGGCAGUCAAGAUGAAUCUACUGGGGAUACCACUGUGUGAUCAGAGAUGGUGAAAGGUCCUUGAACAUAGCGUGCCCUGACUGGUCAAUGGGCUUUUUCACGUGGGUCAAAUUAGGACUGCUCAUGAAGAGUGAGGCUUCAUCACCAAGGUCAAAGCGUUAAAAAACUGCUGGCAUGUAACUAACAAUGAGUUGUCAAACUGAAUUCAUCAGUUUGCUUUUUACUACUCAAGGUUCUAUGAAAGUCCAUUUGCAGGAGACAAUUUGUCUUUUCACAGCUUAAGAAGAAUUAGGUGCUUAGGAACAGAAUCCGUGUAACCACAUUAGUGAAGCACUAUUACCUGUAUGGGAACAGAGGAAAACAUUAUACUCUUAAUUUGAUAAAACUCCAGUUGUCUCCAGUCAAAUAGACCCAGCUCUGAAUGGCUUCCCUGGAAGUCAGUGAGCCAGCACUUCAUGGUGACCUCUGUUAUUGAACAGACUGUGACUUCUGUAAGGUCAUCACCAAAUAAGUACUUCUGUGUCUGUACAAAAGAUGUAAGCCGAUUCCUGGUAUGCUACCAGGCCUUCAUGCCUCCUCUUUUCAGUGAGGCAACCACAUUAUUGCUGUUUCUAGGAGAAGCACAGUGUUUCGGUCAGAUUUUCCACCUUUUAGCCACUAUGACUAAAUGAGGUCAGUGAUAUAACCAGUCACUGUGCUUACGCAAAGCUGGGGUUUGAGUUUUUAACAAAUAAUACAAGUCAUCAUUAUUUUGCAAGUUGAUUAGUAAGAAUAUGUAUUAGGAAGACUUGAAUGAAAAGGGAUGGGUUGUUGAUGCACCAAGGAUGGAUUCAGGCCAAACAAGCCAUAAAUAGAAGAAAGCACAAGUGCAUCAAGAGGAUGCAACGUUGUGUAAUCUGUGUAUUGGAAGUACGUGGAAUGAAGGUCCUAUGGUUCAAAGAGCUCUACAAACACACAGGGAAGUAAAGCAGGAGUGGCUGUUGAGAAGCUUUUUAUCCAAACAGACAAAUAGAGAUAGGAGAGGAGGAGAGGUGAGAAGAUGACUGCAGGAUAGAGGAGGGCAGUGACAUAACCCUGGGCAUCAUGGCUGUUUCCAGCACGACAUGCCACUCUCCAACCUGGUGCUUGAUCCAUUGCUACAUGCUACAGGGCUCACAGCAUUCAAGGGAGUCCUCUCACUCUGUUGGAAGGAGGUUUUGGAAAGGUAACUUUUUGCCAUUGAUUCAGCUACUUCAGUGUUUAUAGAGCAUUAUGUGAAUCACUGGUUUAGGGGGACAAAAAAAAAAAAGAAGGCUUAUGAUUUUUCCCCAUUCUUCUUAGGUUUGAAACACACUCCUAGAAGCCUGAUUAUAUAAAACACCCACCCUCAGACUGGUCCCAGAUAAUAUACCAGCACAGUCCUAUUUCGCACCAUCCUUCAUCUUCAGAUGAAGAGUAGUGACUGCAUAGCCUGCAGUCUUCGAUUUGUUUUGUUCUCUGUAAGUACAGACUAGGCUUUACUUUUAUUUGUCAGCUAAUUGCUCACUGCAUAUUGUUUGCAUUCUGCAAGCUGUUACUUUAGAAGAGGAUAUAUGAAAAUUCUGCAUAUUCCUUUCCCUAAAGAAGUUUUUCCCAUGCAGAAGAAAUAAAAGUUAAAGAACUUGUGUCUCCAGAUGAAAGAAGAACAAAACUAAUGAAGGGGGUCAUACUUCAAAGCAUGCACACCAAGCGUUGACUGAAACAAUCUGAAUAACGCCCACUGUCCCCUGGAGAUGUCAAGAUGUGUGCAUAUGGACCAGAGGACGCUGAGGAAUGGAACAGGCCCCAGAGAUGUCUCCUCUCCUACUCAUCAAGCCUGAUCCUUUUGCAUUACAUCCUAGCUGUCACUGGAGUUGGAAUUUUAAACUAGAUCUCUCAAGUGACCCACUAUGACCAUUCUUACCUUUGCUGCAGGAAACUGAAGUAGCAGUGGCGAUUUUAAUGUAAAUUCAAAGUACCCUAUAAUUCCCCAAACGUGGAAAACAUUGAAAUGCUAUAGAAUUCAAGUCCUAAUUCUUUACCAUAGUAUUAUCUCAGUAUUAAGGAAGACAUUCUCACUUCCAGCAAAGUGUUCUUUUCCAUUUCUUAAAGAGACUGUCAUGUUGUCUGCUAUGAACCAAGGUUUGUCUCUGGAAUCAGCAUGGUACAGAUGGUGGUGUACUGAUGUUUUAGCUGUAAAACUGAUCAUUUUAGUGCUUUGUUGUAUAGAUACCACUGCAUUCUUCUAAGGUCCUAAAGAAGAUAAAAUUGAAGCUCUGGUCUU